CGGGAACGAUCAACAGGCGGAAAAAGUAGUCGGAUAUCUCUUGAUUUUUGUUGUGUCUGUAUAUUGACACCGAAUCACCAUCCUUUCCCAGUAGAGAAGAGGAGGGAAUAAGUGUUAUCUUCAGAGCUAUCGCCGUUUCACCAUUUGUUUUAUCCAAGAGUGUUGACGUAUUUACAACAUGCCACCGAAAGCACAACCCGGGGAGGGUAUUGUGGUGGUCCUAGAUGUUGGUCCAGGUGUGCGGGCCAGCACGGAAACAAGCUUCUUCUCACAGGCAAAAAAUGCUUAACAAAUAUUCUGCAACGGAAGAUGUUUGCAGAAAAGUGUAAAGAUCAAGUGGGUGUAGUUUUGUUUGGUACAGAUGGUACAGACAAUAAUCUUGCUAGUGGAGACCAGUAU